AGUGCUAUAAACUGAAGCCUUCAUAUAUGCUAGGUACUGGGGAUAGAAUGCAGGGGCACUUUACGAGUAAGCUAUGAGCUACACCCACAGGUUCUUGCCAAGUUGCCCAGGUUGGCCUUGAACCUGUUGUGAUCCUCAUAUACUUCAGCCCGGAGUCCUGGAAUCACAGGGUGUCACCUGAACCAAGAAAGCUUCGGAACCAGAAGUAGAAAUAAUCCGUGAGUUUGUAAACCACUGCUACUGGCAAAUCAGUCCUUGAGCUACAACAGUUUUCAUAUUUUUAAUGAGGUAUAGAAAACAAAGCUAAUUUUUAAUGAGGUGUAGAAAACGAAGACAACAAAACAAAGAAUAUGUGAUAGAGACCAUGCCUGUGACUGUGUAGCCUGCAAAGCCUGAAAUAUUUACUAUCUGGCUCUCUGCCUACUCCUGAAUUUACACUACCAAUACGUAAAUAUUUUCCAGUGUCCAGUGAUAUAGACUCUAGACCUGUGCUGUCCAAUAUAGGAGUUAUUUAUAUUUAAGUUAAUUAAAAUUCAGUAAUUUGAUUACAACAGCCAAAUUUCAAGUGUUCAACAACCACACGCGGUCAAUGGACACUGUGCUGGACAAUGCAGAUGAAAGUCUCAGCACUGUCAAAGUGCUACUGGAUUGCACCAUCCUACUAUCAAUAUCUAGAAUCAGUAUCUUCUAGUUUAUUAGUAUUAAACACACCAUUAAUACUACCAUUCCAAACAUUUUUACUCAAUUUAAAUGUAUUUGUUACCUUGUGAACAUUAUCAGUAAUUUACAGGGUCAAAACCUAACCUUUAAUUUCCAAAACCUUACAAUAUAUUAACUCUCCAUCUCUGUAAAUCAUUCCUCCAUGUUCCACUUCAAAUGCCAUUUUCUCCAUGAAGUCCACUUUAUUCUCCAUUGCUAAAAGCAUCAAAUCAGUUCUCCUUUCUGUUAUCAUACCUCUUUAGAAUGUCUUAUAAUUCAUUACAUUGUCCUGUAUCAUAGUUAUUUUGUACAUAUUAAAUAUUUCCCUUUCUGGGACUUAAGGACUCUGAAUCAUUCUCUCCCAGUCCUAGCACAAGACAAGGAACCUAAUAAACGUGAGGAAUUCGAUUGAUCCAAUUAAAAUGAUUUGAAAAAUUUCUUCAGUCUUAAUAUUUAGAGAAACCCUGUGCUUUGGUCUUCAUCCGCGCUCUUUAUCUCUGUUAACGACUAA